rnacentral:rRNA from 1 species
UACGUAGGGGGCAAGCGUUGUCCGGAUUUAUUGGGCGUAAAGAGCGUGUAGGCGGCCAGGUAGGUCUGGUGUGAAAACUCGAGGCUUAACCUCGAGAUGUCAUCGGAAACCAUCUGGCUAGAGUCCGGAAGAGGAGAGUGGAAUUCCUGGUGUAGCGGUGAAAUGCGCAGAUAUCAGGAGGAACACCGAUGGCGAAGGCAGGUCUCUGGGCCACUACUGACGCUGAGAAGCGAAAGCAUGGGGAGCGAACAGG